AUUUUGCGUGAGGGAUGGUAGCGGCAUCCUUUUUUGCCGAGGCACGAAGGCAAAAAAGAUAAAGCGGACAGCCCGACGGCGG
rnacentral:sRNA from 1 species